GAUGAACGCUAGCGGCGGGCCUAAUACAUGCAAGUUGAACGAGAUUGUUGGUAGCAAUACUGACAUGAAAGUGGCGCACGGGUGCGUAACACGUAUGUAACCUACCUUUAACUGGGGCAUAGCUUCGAGAAAUCGAAAUUAAUACCCCAUAACAUUUAGAAAAGGCAUCUUUUCUUUAUCAAAGUUCCGGCGGUUAAAGAUGGACAUGCGGUGCAUUAGCUUGUUGGUGAGGUAACGGCUCACCAAGGCUACGAUGCAUAGGGGGUCUGAGAGGAUGAUCCUCCACACUGGUACUGAGACACGGACCAGACUCCUACGGGAGCAGCAGUAGGAAUAUUGGGCAAUGGACGAAAGUCUGACCCAGCCACGCCGCGUGAAGGAUGACUGCCCUAUGGGUUGUAAACUUCUUUUGAAUGGGAAGAAAAUUCCGAACGUGUUCGGAGCUGACGGUACCAUAAGAAUAAGCAUCGGCUAA
rnacentral:rRNA from 1 species